rnacentral:rRNA from 1 species
UACAGAGGGUGCGAGCGUUGUUCGGAAUUACUGGGCGUAAAGCGCGCGCAGGCGGCCUUUUAAGUCUGCUGGUGAAAUGCCGGGGCUCAACCCCGUGCCCGCCACAGAUACUGGGAGGCUGGAGACGAGUAGAGGCAAGCGGAAUUCCGGGUGUAGCGGUGGAAUGCGUAGAGAUCCGGAAGAACACCGGAGGCGAAGGCGGCGCUCUGGCUCGCAACUGACGCUCAGACACGACAGCAUGGGGAGCGAACGGG